rnacentral:tRNA from 1 species
GGAUAGGUGGGUGAGUGGCUUAAACCAGCAGUUUGCUAAACUGCGGUAUGGAUUGUUCUGUACCGGGGGUUCGAAUCCCCCCUUAUCCG